UACGGAGGGUGCAAGCGUUAUCCGGAUUCACUGGGUUUAAAGGGAGCGUAGGUGGGCUGGUAAGUCAGUGGUGAAAUCUCCGAGCUUAACUUGGAAACUGCCAUUGAUACUAUUAGUCUUGAAUAUUGUGGAGGUCAGCGGAAUAUGUCAUGUAGCGGUGAAAUGCCUAGAGAUGACAUAGAACACCAAUUGCGAAGGCAGCUGGCUACGCAUAUAUUGACACUGAGGCUCGAAAGCGUGGGGAUCAAACAGG
rnacentral:rRNA from 1 species